GCCCCCUUUGUCUAAUGGCUAUGACGUCAGACUUCUACGCCAAGUGCUGCCCUGUGCGGUACUCCAACUAGUGGACUUAUCUGGAGGUUGUGGGUUCGAGUCCCACAGGGGGUU